rnacentral:rRNA from 1 species
CCUACGGGAGGCUGCAGUCGAGAAUCAUUCACAAUGGGGGAAACCCUGAUGGUGCGACGCCGCGUGGGGGAAUGAAGGUCUUCGGAUUGUAAACCUCUGUCAUGUGGGAGUAAAUUAAUAAGAUAGUACCACAAGAGGAAGAGACGGCUAACUCGGGGCCAGCAGCUGCGGUAAUACAGAGGUCUCAAGCGUUGUUCGGAUGGACUGGGCGUAAAGCGUGCGUAGGCUGUUUCGUAAGUCGUGUGUGAAAGGCGCGGGCUCAACCCGUGAAGGGCACAUGAAACUGGGAGACUAGAGUAAUGGAGGGGGAACCGGAAUUCGCGGUGUAGCAGUGAAAUGCGUAGAUAUCGAGAGGAACACUCGUGGCGAAGGCAGGUUCCUGGACAUUAACUGACGCUGAGGCACGAAGGCCAGGGGAGCGAAAGGGAUUAGAUACCCCAGUAGUC